AGUGGUUAAGCUCUUGACUGCUAACUAAAAAGUGGUUAAGUGCUUGGCUGCUAACCAAAAGUUUGGUGGUUCCAACCCAUCAGCCACUC
rnacentral:tRNA from 1 species